GUAACACGUAUCCAACCUAGCCCGUUACUCGGGGAGUAGACCUUUCGGAAGAAAGAUUAAUACCCGAUGGCAUAAUGAUUCCGCAUGGUUUCAUUAUUAAAGGGGAAUUCCGGUAAAGGAUGGGGAUGCGUUCCAUUAGGGUUGUUGGGUGAGGUAACGGCCCACCAAGCCUUCGAUGGAUAGGGGUUCUGAGAGGAAGGUCCCCCACAUUGGAACUGAGACACGGUCCAAACUCCUACGGGAGGCAGCAGUGAGGAAUAUUGGUCAAUGGGGCGCUAGCCUGAACCAGCCAAGUAGCGUGAAGGAUGAAGGCUCUAUGGGUCGUAAACUUCUUUUAUAUAAGAAUAAAGUGCAGUAUGUAUACUGUUUUGUAUGUAUUAUAUGAAUAAGGAUCGGCUAACUCCGUGCC
rnacentral:rRNA from 1 species